rnacentral:rRNA from 1 species
GAUUAUGGCUCAGGAUGAACGCUAGCGACAGGCUUAACACAUGCAAGUCGAGGGGCAGCAUAGAAGUAGCAAUACUCGGUGGCGACCGGCGCACGGGUGAGUAACGCGUAUGCAACCUACCUAUCAGAGGGGAAUAACCCGGCGAAAGUCGGACUAAUACCGCAUAAAACAGGGGCACCGCAUGGUGAUAUUUGUUAAAGAAAUUCGCUGAUAGAUGGGCAUGCGUUCCAUUAGGUAGUUGGUGAGGUAACGGCUCACCAAGCCGACGAUGGAUAGGGGAACUGAGAGGUUGGUCCCCCACACUGGUACUGAGACACGGACCAGACUCCUACGGGAGGCAGCAGUGAGGAAUAUUGGUCAAUGGGCGGGAGCCUGAACCAGCCAAGUCGCGUGAAGGAAGAAGGAUCUAUGGUUCGUAAACUUCUUUUGCAGGGGAAUAAAGUGCAGGACGUGUCCUGUUUUGUAUGUACCCUGAGAAUAAGGAUCGGCUAACUCCGUGCCAGCCGCCGC